GAUGAACGCUAGCUACAGGCUUAACACAUGCAAGUCGAGGGGCAGCGGUAUCGAAAGCUUGCUUUCGGUAGCCGGCGACCGGCGCACGGGUGAGUAACGCGUAUCGAACCUGCCUCAUACUCGGGAAUAGCCUUGCGAAAGUAAGAUUAAUGCCCGGUGUUUUCAGAGUCCCGCAUGAGGCUUUGAACAAAGAUUUAUCGGUAUGAGAUGGCGAUGCGUCCCAUUAGCUUGUUGGCGGGGUAACGGCCCACCAAGGCAUCGAUGGGUAGGGGUUCUGGGAGGAAGGUCCCCCACAUUGGAGAUGAGACACGGUCCAAACUCCUACGGGAGGCAGCAGUGAGGAAUAUUGGUCAAUGGGCGGAAGCCUGAACCAGCCAAGUAGCGUGCAGGAAGACGGCCCUCCGGGUUGUAAACUGCUUUUAGUUGGGAAUAAAACGGGGCUCGUGAGCCCCCUUGCAUGUACCAUCAGAAAAAGGACCGGCUAAUUCCGUGCCAGCAGCCGCCGUAA
rnacentral:rRNA from 1 species